AAAAAAACUAAAAUUAUAUAAAUAAUGUUUUAUUUGUUUUGCAGAGCUCGAGUUGAACAGAUUCAGACUAGUCUAGCUGAACUCCUUCACAGCUACCUCAACCACAGACAUGGGCGAGAGCAUGGAAGAUCUAAAUUUGCCUCUGGAAUGAGAUUAAUCAGUAAAUGUCGCCAACUUCACGAUAUUUUAUCCAAGAAUAAGAUAGAUAUCAGGGGUUAAACUUCAUGAUAUUUUAUCCAAGAAUAAGAUAGAUAUCAGGGGUUAAACUUCAUGAUAUUUUAUCCAAGAAUAAGAUAGAUAUCAGCGGUUAAACUCAUUCCCGUGAUUUAACCAAGUGCAUUUAUAACAACUAUCUUAGAGUUUUAUGGUACAGUUGUCAUACUUACAAUUGUAUACGAUAGACAUUCCUGCAGAUAAAAAAUGUCGUCUUAAAUUGUUGAAAUAACAUGAAUUUAAAAUGUAUCACUAUUGUAAAUUUCAAAAUCUGUUAUAAAUUUAAAAUUUUGUCUUCCAUGUGUAGAUUGAAAUGGCAAGAAUGAAAACUCUGUAAGAAAAUUGUGAAAAUGAAAUCAACCUAAACCUGAGGAUAUUUAAAUAUUGUCAUUGCUUCAAGAUACCUCUAAACUGCUCGUUAUUCAUUAAAAGGUACAAAACGAAAAACGAAUUGUGUAUCCAAUAUUCUUAAAGAAAUUUUAGCUGUUUUAUACUGUUAAUUAGCUAAUCCAGAAUACGUACAUAUCCCGACAUAAUUCGUACAUGCCAUGCAACAUAUUGUACAAGUAGUAUAAUUCAUAAAUCAAAUAUUCACGUUAAUAUUUUAUUUUUUGUACAGCCUGUCAAAGUCUGCAAAAUUGUCGUAUUGGUAUUACAUCGCUGAAAAUUCUAAAUAGUUACUUGCUCUUAUUGCAUGUUAGUCCUUGAAAGAAAUCUAAUUUUUUUUUUCUUGAAAUUUUCUGCAUUUAAUCCCAGAAUUAAGAUUGAAUGUUUUCUUUGAGUUCGAAGAUUUUGUGAUGAUUGAUUAAUUAAUAUUUUUUCUAUAAAACUUCAUGUUUGAUCCCCGCAGACUGAUAUUAGAAUUUUUCAUUUUCACUUUUUAAACACAAGAUACAGGGUGGCACAAUAAACAUCGGAAUUCAGAGACGAAUUCGAACUCGUCUUUGUAAAGAAUUAGCGUUGUGUUAUCUAAUCUUAAUGGUUAAAAUAAUGUUACGUCUGCUAGAUUAUAUUUUUCGUAAACAGUAAAAGACUGUUUGUUAUUCUACAAAACUUUGCAUGAUGUUCUGUAUUCAGCAAGAUAAACAGUGAAGAGAAACUGUAUUGUGUUUGUAUAAACGAAUUUCUAAUAUUAAGUACAAUACAGUAAGCAAUAAAAAAAUUAACAACCAAUUUCUGAACUCGAGUAGACGGAUUAAAGCUUUCCUAUUAGGCAGCACCAACUAAAUUUAAAAAUCAUUUACAGACGAUAUCAAAAUCGUCGCUGAAUUCCCAGUUUAUUGAGACACCCUGUAUACAUAUAUAAAUGCAGAUAGCAGAUUCUUACGUUAUUGAUAUUAUUAUAUAUGGUUAUUUUGUUGUGUGUUUUUUGAUUUAUUGUGAUUUUUGAAUGUAAGCUUAAACAAAGCCUGUAUAAAUGUAAAAUCAUUUAUCCAAAUUUACAAUAAAGUAAACUUAAAUUC